rfam:Trichobilharzia regenti genome assembly, scaffold: TRE_scaffold0100281
AUCCAGCUGACGAAUCGCAAAUAGAACGAAAUGCCUAUCGUGGAU